UCCCCGUUACCGGGGCAGUCUGAUUAGAAAAAUCCAACUAAUCAUAAGGGUUGCGCUCGUUGAUGGACUUAACCAAACAUCUCACGACACGAGCUGACGACGGCCAUGCAUCACCUGUCACUUGGCUCAAUAAAGCACUCACUACUUUCGUAGUAAUUCCAAGGAUGUCAAGCCUGGGUAAGGUUCUUCGCUUACCAUCGAAUUAAACAACACGCUCCACCGCUUGUGCGGGUCCCCGUCAAUUCCUUUAUGUUUUAGCCUUGCGGCCGUACUCCACAGGCGGGAUGCUUAACGCGUUAGCUUCGCUACUGAAGGGGUCGAUACCUCCAACAGCUAGCAUCCAUCGUUUACGGCGUGGACUAC
rnacentral:misc_RNA from 1 species